UGUUGGUUAUUUUCUGGAUUAACAGAUUAGUUACUCGGUGUCUAAAUGUCAGAAAAUGGUGAAAAAUGUGGAUCAGGGUUUUCCAAAAGUCCCAAGACGACGUCCUUAAAUAUCUCGUUUUGUCCAAAACUCAAAAAUAUUCCGUUCUCUGUCACAGCGGAGAGAAGAAACCAGAAAAUAUUCACACUUAACAAGCUGA